CGAGUGAGCAUCUCCGACACGGUAAUAACUGCAUCCUUCGUCGUAUUACCAGUUCACAAUGGUGGUAAACUAUGCCGUCUUGCUGCACUGCUGCUAUUGGUUGUUGUAUUGCUGAUGGCUGGGUCGAUCAAGGGUGUACCGAUUUCUCCUGGGUAUGGUGAAUAUCAAAAAACAGCAGCGAAAGAAUACUCUACCACGCCGCCUCCUUACUAAACAACAACUUCAACACCUACUUACUAUACGAAGGCCUCCAAGUACUACACUACCAAGGCUCCUGAGUAUUAAACUGCAACCUACGCAGCUCCAUCUUUGGAAACAUGGUUACAACUGAGAAUUCAUGUACUACACCACUAAGGCAGCGGAGUACUACACCACUAAGGCAGCGGAGUACUACACCACUAAGGCAGCGGAGUACUACACCACUAAGGCAGCGGAGUACUACACCACUAAGGCAGCGGAGUACUACACCACUAAGGCAGCGGAGACUGCGGAGUACUACACACCACAGCAGCUGCUAAUUCGUACUUCGUUGAACUGGAAUAAACCGAGGCUCCAGUUUACUACACUACAAUCUACGCUGCUCCCAGGUACUACAUCGACGAGGCUGC